UCACUCACGUUCUCUCUCUCAGAAGCAUCACCACCAGACUUCAAUAUUUAUUCAUUUCCUUUCUUCCAUACUUUUACUUUCCUUUUCUCCUUCACGUUUUUCUUCCCCUGGCAGCAACAAACCGACGCCCACCACCUUCUUUUCCUCUUUCUUUCUUCUUCUACAUAUCACAUUUUUCUUCUUCUUCUUUUCCACUUCUUUUAUUCUUCUUUUUCUUCUUCCUUCAUGAAACAAUAACCACCAUGCUAAUUUCUUCUCCUCACAUUCCAGCACCCAAAACGCACAUAAUGGUCCCUCUUCCCUCCCUCACGUGAUUUCUCUCUUGUGCAGCACCAUGUCUUCAUCUUCCUAUACUAUGGGUACGAAGGACGGAAGCGCUUGACGACGAAGCCAAAGAACAAACGGAAGUGAGCCAACACGGGAAAGCAAAGAUAUGAUUGGAUUUGAUUUGAGUCGCAACUUAGUAAGGAAAGCGCCUAAGGUACCGAGGAUAGUGGAGCUUCUCGCGAGGGUUAGUCAGAGGAGCUAGUCUUUUAUAUAUGCUUUUAGUGAUGGGAGUCAUGCUCUAUUAUGUAACACCGGGGAAACGCUUAGUUGUACCUUGAUGUUAAGAGUUAUUUUGUGAACUCUCUUAUUUAUUUUUGGAUUAUGUUUUAUUUUGGAGUUGAAAAAUAAAUUCGCUGUGCUAUGCAUACGAUAUUAUGUCAGUAAAGUUGGGAAU